rnacentral:rRNA from 1 species
CAGCCGCCACGGGAACACGAGGGGGGCAAGCGUUGUUCGGAAUUAUUGGGCGUAAAGGGUGCGUAGGCGGCUUGACAAGUCCUGUGUGAAAUCUAUGGGCUCAACCCAUAGUCUGCACGGGAAACUGUCGGGCUUGAGAAUGGGAGAGGUGAGUGGAAUUUCCGGUGUAGCGGUGAAAUGCGUAGAUAUCGGAAGGAACACCUGUGGCGAAAGCGGCUCACUGGACCAUUUCUGACGCUGAUGCACGAAAGCUAGGGGAGCAAACAGGAUUAGAUACCCCGGUAGUCCCUGUCUCUUAUAC